rnacentral:rRNA from 1 species
UAUAAGCAUUAUACCGUGAAACUGCGAAUGGCUCAUUAAAUCAGUUAUCGUUUAUUUGAUAGUACCUUACUACUUGGAUAACCGUGGUAAUUCUAGAGCUAAUACAUGCUAAAAACCUCGACUUCGGGAGGGGUGUAUUUAUUAGAUAAAAAACCAAUGCCCUCCGGGGCUCCUUGGUGAUUCAUAAUAACUUCUCAGAUCGCAUGGCCUUGCGCCGGCGACGGUUCAUUCAAAUUUCUGCCCUAUCAACUUUCGAUGGUAAGGUAUUGGCUUACCAUGGUUUCAACGGGUAACGGGGAAUUAGGGUUCGAUUCCGGAGAGGGAGCCUGAGAAACGGCUACCACAUCCAAGGAAGGCAGCAGGCGCGCAAAUUACCCAAUCCCGACACGGGGAGGUAGUGACAAUAAAUACUGAUACAGGGCUCUUUAGGGUCUUGUAAUUGGAAUGAGUACAAUUUAAACCUCUUAACGAGGAACAAUUGGAGGGCAAGUCUGGUGCCAGCAGCCGCGGUAAUUCCAGCUCCAAUAGCGUAUAUUAAAGUUGUUGCAGUUAAAAAGCUCGUAGUUGAACCUUUGGCCUGGUUGGCAGGUCUGCCUCACCGCAUGCACUUGUCCGACCGGGCCUUUUCUUCUGGAGAACCGCAUGCCCUUCACUGGGUGUGUUGGGGACCAGGACUUUUACUUUGAAAAAAUUAGAGUGUUCAAAGCAGGCCUUUGCUCGAAUACGUUAGCAUGGAAUAAUAGAAUAGGACGUGCGGUCCUAUUUUGUUGGU